rnacentral:tRNA from 1 species
UCCCUGGUGUCUCAGAUGGUAGAGAAUCUGCCUGCAAUAUAGGAAACCCAGGUUCAAUCCCUGGAUUGGGAA